GACGAACGCUGGCGGCGUGCUUAACACAUGCAAGUCGAACGGACAGGCCCUGCUCUUGCGGGGCGCUCGAGAGGCGAACGGGUGAGUAAAACGUGAGUAACCUGUCCCUGACUUUGGGAUAACUUCAGGAAACUGGGGCUAAUACCGGAUAGGAGAUCCUGCUGCAUGGGGGGGGUUGGAAAGAUUCGGCGGUGGUGGAUGGUCUCGCAGCUUAUCAGCCUGUUGGUGGGGUAGGGGCUUACAAAGGCUUUGACGGGUAGCCCGCCUGGGAGGGUGACCGGCCUCAUUAGGACUACGAUACGCCGCAGACUCCUACGGUACGCAGCAGGGGGGAGUAUUGCGGAACGGGCGGGCGCCUGAUACGGCAGCCCUCCGUGCGUGAUGCCGUCCUACGAGUUGUGAACAACUUUCUCCUGUACUGUACCCUUAGUGACGGUACCGGGUCAGAAAGCACCGGCUAACUACGUG
rnacentral:rRNA from 1 species